GAACAAGUCCAGUCAGCUGAGAUCAGUCAAUGAAUGAAGAGGCAUAUAAUUUGCAUUCCUCUUUUGUAAAAAUUAUAUCUUUCACUGUUGAUGGAAAGAAAUCUGUUUUGAAGGUGAACUGUCAGGAAUGAUCCUUGAGCACUAAAGUUUAUCUGAUGAGCUUAAAGCAACCAGGCUGUGUUGAUGUCAUGAGACCCAGCAGACGCAGUUCCCAUUUUUAUCCUCUUUGUCUGACCAGGCCUCAAUAUUUGCUCAACCAGAAGAUGGAAAACUUGAAAAAGGAACCAAUUUAUCAACUGAGUAAGAUGUCAGCAAGCAGCAGAUCUCCGACAUCCACAAAAACAAGGACAAAAUCAUAAAGCUUCGACAGGACUCAUAUUUCCGUUUAUCUUGUCUCUCGAUUAUCCGGACAAUUCAGCCCAGUCCCCACGAGUCCGGAUAAUCGAAUUAUCAUUUUGUUUUAAAAAU